ACUUGUACCAUGUGCAUUGUAGCUUGCCCCUGUUGUUUUAUCCACUAAUAAAUCUCCAGGAUAGCCUGGGUAAGCGCCCUUCGCGUAGACACCAGGGCAAGCAGAUGCAGCUUCUAAUGGUGCAUCUGCUUCGCCCUGGUAGUAACCGUUUCCAAAUGGAUUUGUAGCGGUUCCAGCUAAUAAGCUAGCUAAGUUAAUCACCAUACCGUCAGCACCCACAUCGUUGUUUGGUGCACCCAAUGGUGGGGUCUGUGGUCCGUAGAUGGGCUGGUGGAAUGGCCAGGCGCAGUAGCCGGGACACAGAGUCUCUGAGUUACCCACCCAAAUAUAAGCAAAUUUAUAAGUUUUUCCCUUAAUCACAGCACCCUUAGAAGCCCCAUGAGUUCCACACCGAUUGACACAGAACCCAUCAACCGCAACAUCAGAGGCGGUCAAUACAACAUUAAUGGCGUCUUUCUGUUCACCCUUUGAUGCCAAUUGCACGAUUUGCUUCUGGGUUAGUGAUUUUCCUAGAGAAUAAUUUUCGACGAGAACCUGUUUGCCCAAAUUGAGCGAAAGGGUGUUGUUAGAAUUAGCGAGAUGGUAGUAUUUUUCAGUGGUUUUCCACCAUUGUGCUACGGAUGGAUUGGUUUUAGAUGGAUUUGAAGAAGAAAGGGAGUUGAUGAAGUCAGAUAGAAUAGCUCUUUGGGAUGGCUUGAAUUUGCCAUACCAUAUCAAAUUGACAGAUAUUUUACCAGAAAGAAGUGCACCCUUGUGGUAGUGCAAGAGCUGAGUUUGUUCUACUAAUGCAGUUAGCUUUCUUGAAGCAAAACACACAUUGAAGAAAGAAAUCAAUAGAAAAAGUGAUAAAAUGACACCUGAAGAAGACAUUUUAGCCUGUUUUGGGAUUUAAUUUGGAUAGAAUGUAGGAAAAGAGAAGCCGAAUAUAUAAGAGAGAAAAGGUGUUACUAUUGGGAAGGUGCUUAGAAAAGAAAUUGAUAAUAAGUUCAACUAAAAACGCGUUGGCAUUUUAAUUGUUAUAAUUGGGCAAAACAGAGCAAUGUACAUAUACCAACUUGUCUUUUCUAAAAACAAAAGCUAUAUCUCCCUCCCCCAUCUAAACCUAUUACAGGAUUGCAACCUAAUUUUUGCCUCCUCAUACAUGCUCUGUCAAGUUAGUAUUGGCUUACGCCUCUUUACUCAGAGCGUCAUAUCCAUAUCUAUUAAUGCAUAAUGGAGUACAUAGCUGCCACUUUAUACAGAUCCACUCCAAAUUCAUCAAAAUUUCUGUUGUAAAUGGAAAAAAACAGCAGUAUUUGAUGAACUACAAUUGCAAAAAAAGACAUGUUCGAGUGUUAAAUAAUUUGGGGAGUACAUGAAAUAUUGCUCCUUACUAUUCCCUCUAUCUCUAUUUGUGCAGCAAUUUUCUAGACUUUCUAAUUUCGACCUUGACAUUGGACAUACAUGAGAUCUUUAUAAGAUUUGAGUAAAAUUUGAAAUUUAUCGAAAAAGUAUCUCAAGUCACAAUGAUUAGCACUUCAAAAAUAUUUCUAAAACAUGGUCAAAGAAUGUUUCAUUUUACUUUCAAAAUUUGAACGUUAGAUACUUAUAAAUUGGGACAAAGAGCUUUAUUUAUUUUGAAGUUCAUUUCAGUAUUUUUUUUUUCUUCUUCAUAUUGUCAGGACACGCCACUUCUCCAUUAGAAUCACAGAGCUUUAGUGAAAUUCUAAAUCCGUAACUCUUGGUUCUUUUUGUAUACAAACUACACAUGUAAUUUCUAAAAAUAAAUUACAUCCUAUCAGCACCAGGUUAAUUCAGUGUAAGGGGUUCUUUUUUUUUUAUUAUUAUUAUGCUGAAUAGUAAAAGAAUUAUUAUUAGUAUUUAAAUACAACACAACAUUCCUCCCAGCUUGUUUAUCAUUGAGCAUUAUUGAUAUUCAUAAUGGUUGUCAACUGGCCAUGACAUCCAAGCCCUACCAAAGAACAAAACAAAACAAGUUAGAUAUGCCUGAUUUCUAGUUAUAUCAACCCUCUUGUCUUAUGCAAUUUGUGUUGAUCCAUUUAUUAAAUAAAAGUUGGAGACAUGCCAGCUAUCUAUUUUGUUCUUCUGCCUAGUCGAAACAGGAAAAAGAGCCACUAAAUUAUUGGCUUCUCAAUUAGUCUAACAUAUAAUUGGUGAGCUAACAAUUUGCUUAGCCUCAACUAACCCUUCCCUAAUUGAUCUGAAUUCCCACGAUAGUCGUCAAACUGUAGAGGCAAAAUUUGCACAAUGAUGGAUUAUGGAACAAGGCCUAUACACGGAACGUAAGUGAGAACAAUAUUGAAAUGACAGAUGAUGCAAAGUAAGAAUUGUUAUUCAUGUCUCGUCCAACACCACGUAAAAUAAGAUAUUGUUCGAUGAAAAUAGGCCUUAGCCAAGCAUGACUUACAAAUGUAUGAACGGCAGAAGCACAAGUUAUACUCAUCAAACGGAGGCUAACAUAUGGGAGAUAUAAUGCUUAUUAUAAAGUUAACUUGUAUUAGGUGUUAAUAAAAAAUUUUACUAUCAUCUUUCAUUCCGAUUUAAGAAUAAACUAUUCAUUAUGGUUAUAAAGCUAAGGCCUUAGGAGAGGUCUGAAGAUUAUUGAUGAUAGCAAAGAGUUACUCUCCUUGUUUGCCUUGGUAUUUUGUUCAAAUUGUAGAAAAACAUAUUAUCACGACUUUAGAGAAUGCAUAUCUUGAUAUAUUCUGUGAGCAAGUUAAAAUGCAUACGCGAUUAGCAAAGUUGAUAAAAGAAAAGUAAGUUUCUCAUAUAUUAUCGAAUGAACGAAUCAAUAAAUCAUAUAUUACAAAGCUAUGUUCGAUUAUAGUAUAUCCUAUUUUGUAAAUACUGCUUCUCUCUAGACUAGAGUUGAACAUGAAGAUGUAGCAGGAUCAUAUAGAGCAGGAACCAAGUAUUUCCUUCCGUUUGUACCAUGUGCAUUGUAGCUUGCCCCUGUUGUUUUGUCCACCAAUAAAUCUCCGGGAUAGCCUGGGUAUGCGCCCUUAGCGUACACACCAGGGCAAGCAGAUGCAGCUUCCAAUGGCGCAUCUGCUUCACCCUGGUAGUAUCCAUUUCCAAAUGGGUUUGUGGCAGUUCCAGCUAAUAAGCUAGCUAGGUUAAUCACCAUACCGUCAACACCCACAUCGUUGUUUGGUGCACCCAAUGGUGGGGUCUGUGGUCCAUAGAUGGGCUGGUGGAAUGGCCAGGCACAGUAUCCAGGGCACAGAGUUUCUGAGUUACCCACCCAAAUAUAAGUAAAUUUGUGAGUUUUGCCUUCAAUAAUAGCACCCUUAGAAGCUCCAUGAGUUCCACACCGAUUGACACAGAACCCAUCAACGGCGACAUCUGAGGCGGUCAAUACAACAUUAAUGGCGUCUCUCUGUUCACCCUUUGAUGCCAAUUGCACGAUUUGCUUCUGGGUUAGUGCUUUUCCUAGAGAAUAAUUUUCGAUGAGAACCUGUUUGCCCAAAUUAAGGGAAAGGGUGUUGUUAGAAUUAGCGAGAUGGUAGUAUUUUUCGGUGGUUUUCCACCAUUGUGCUACUGAUGGAUUGGUUUUAGAUGGAUUUGAAGAAGAAAGGGAGUUGAUGAAAUCGGAUACAAUAGCUCUUUGGGAUGGCUUGAAUUUACCAUACCAAAUCAGAUUAACAGAGACUUUUCCAGAAAGAAGUGCACCCUUGUGGUACUUCAAAAGCUGCAUUUGUGAGUCUUGUACUAAAGCAGUGAGCUUUCUGGAAGCAAAGCACACAUUAAAGAAGGAAAUAACAAGAAAAAGUUUCAAAAUGAAAUGGGUCAAAUUGGAAGACAUAUUUUAUAUUUAUUUGUAAAGAGAAGCUCUAAGUAAUUAAUGGAAAUUUGAGUGUGCAAGUAGUUUGGGUGUUGGAGAAGAGAGGCAGAUUAUAUAUAGCGCAAUGGAAUGAGUGCGUUUUGCUUGUUACGAAGGUGCGAAGAAGGGAGAAAAGUUGACUUUAAAAUAAAACGCGUUUGGCAUUAACUUGUAAUAGCUGUGGAACAUAAGGAAGGAAGAUCAAUAACUUUAGUGCCAACUAAAUGCGGUUUCUAUGAGCAUAAAUAUUUGUAAUUUUUUUCCUUUCACGUCUUUCUUCAAGGUCCACACCUAAUUUGUGCUUAAAGCACCAACAAACCUUAGUUUUUUUUUGCAUUUUUUUCCUUUGAUAAGACUGGCUCCGUCGACUUCCAACUAUGUAACCAUGGAUCUCCAAUAAUAACAUGCAAGAUACGAACAAAAUACAGAGAGUGCUAAAAUAGUGCUCGUUCAAAUGGACAUGAUAAACACAUCUCAAGAUGUUACAUUUGGUACAAUGGCCACAUACGUAUUAUUGACUUCAUUACUGUUGCUUUUGAAAGUCGAAAUAUUUUUAUUAGGAAGAAAUGUGCAAAACAGAGCAAUGUAAAUAUACUAACCCACAUCCACAACAUAACCUAUUACCAACUACUUUAUCCAUCACCUAUUUUAGGUAAUACAUUUUUUUCAUUGUUACAGAUAGUUAAGAGUAGUUAUAAAAUAUUAAAAUUUAAAUUUUGAUUAGGUAAAAUCGAUAAAUCGAACUAUUCACUAUGUUAGUUGGUAAUACUGUAUUGAACUUGUAGUCGAUUAUGUCGCUAAGUCAUGUUAUUGCAUUUAUAUUUUUCUACGUGGAGACACAGUAUAAUAAAACAUCAACAAGUAAAAAGACAUAAAUAAAAAAGUAAAUUAACUCAACUAUAAAAACAUAUGUAUUUGGGUCAUUUAUGUUUAGUAUUUAGCUUUCUCUUAAAAUUUGCACCAAUGAGUUAUGAACUAGUUUAUAUAUGCCCUUCAUUGAGUAACUAAUUUGGUUUUCGUGGAGAUACCUAAUACCAAAUAAUUCUAAUAUCUCAUACCCAAUUCAAACCUAAAUAAUAUAAUUCUAAAAUUUUACUCUCGAAUACCAUACUAAAUAUCGAAUUGCCAAAAAUUUAGAUUCAAUUAGUAAUAUGUAUCCAACCCUACAUAAUUUGUCAAAUGGUGGUGAAUUCGAUGUUACAUACAUGUAGAUUAUGACUUUCUAAUACCUGCCCUGUCUAGUUAAUACUCCUCAAUCCUCAUACCUGCCUUGUGAGUGAAGUAAUUAAUAAAUACUAGGUACGUACUAAAGUCACCAUUAUAUUAAAGAUUCAGGCCCUCACCACUUAAAUUAUGCACCUCUACUCAAAGCGUCGUUUCCAUUAUAGUUACUAACGCGGGGACUCUACGCGUGAGGGAUAAAGAUAAAUAGUUCUGAAUAACAAGUUGACGUCUUGUUUGGUUGUCAAGUUUGAAAUUUGGAAUAGUUUAUCUCACAAUUUAUAUUAUAGUGGUGAAUUAGUUAUUUCAAAUACAAACUCGGUUAAGUUAUCGGAGGAUAAUUAAUUAAGUGAUAACUUUGUUUACAUAGAUUCCCUCCAAGUCUUGAGGCAUUUGGACGAUAUUUCAGUUGAUGUGGGAAAAAAAACUCCAUUUGUCCAACAAUAGUUGUUCACUAUAUUUUUUUUAGUAUGUCCUACAAUACUUAUUCACUUUAUGAAAUUAAUGAAUAAUUUUACUUAGUUUCUAAUUUAUCCUAAUAAUUUAUUAUACUCAUUUUUCUAUAACAUUUUUCAAGACGUUAUAUUUAUUACUUCUUUCGUCCCAUAACAGUCGCCCACUAUUAACUUGACACACCCCUUAAGAAACUAUAAAUAUAAGGGUAAUUUUAACUAUAUCACCUUUUGAAUAUAAUAAAUACAAUAUCUUCAAAAUGUAAUAUGAAAAUUAUUAUAAUUAAUGAUACGAGUAAAUUAGAAACUAAGUAAAAAAUUAAUUAUGAAUUUCGUAAAGUAGACAAGUAUUGUUGGACGAACUAAAUAUAUUCAAAAAGUAAUACACUGAAAUUAUUUUUUAUAUUUAUAGUUUCUUAAAAUAUGUGCGAAGUGAACAAGUUUUAAAAUUGUGAGGAAAAAUAAGAAAUGCACAUUUCGCUAUAUAUUUUCAUGUGCAUUUUUAUCUAAUAAAUUUUCAUGUCCCUGUAAUGGUUGUCACCUCGUAAUGUAUAUACUUCUUCAUCUGCCUACUAAAUCAUGGACAUUCUUCCAAGUCCUAUACAGUGUAUAAAAUGUAAAGCUAAUAAUUUUCUCAGGUGCGCAACUAAUAAGCCUUGGCCUUAUUGAACAUCACUAAUUAAUUAAGCUGAAUUCCCAAAAUAUUGUUGAGUUGCAUUACCUGUCUUUGUCUAAGGAUUCCUAAAUCAAUUGAGCAAGGAAAACAAAAUGACAAGGUAAUAUAGACAUAGCAAAAUAAUUUUAUGGUAUAUUAUUAUAUCUGAAACAAAUGAAUGAAUCAACAAAUUGUAUCUUACAACUCUAUGCUCAACUAUAUUAUAAGUAUCCUAUUAUGUAAAUAUUACUUGUCUCUCUAGACCAAAGUGGAGCAUGAAGAUGUAGCAGGAUCAUACAAAGCAGGAACCAAGUAUUUCCUUCCGUUUGUACCAUGUGCAUUGUAGCUUGCACCUGUUGUUUUAUCAACCAAUAAAUCUCCAGCAUAGCCUGGGUAAGCGCCCUUCGCGUAGACACCGGGGCAAGCAGAUGCAGCUUCCAAUGGCGCAUCUGCUUCACCCUGGUAGUAACCGUUUCCAAAUGGGUUUGUUGCGGUUCCAGCUAAUAAGCUAGCUAAGUUAAUCACCAUACCGUCAACACCCACAUCGUUGUUCGGUGCAACCAAUGGUGGGCUUUGUGGUCCGUAGAUGGGCUGGUGGAAUGGCCAGGCGCAGUAGCCAGGACACAGAGUCUCUGAGUUACCCACCCAAAUAUAAGCAAAUUUGUAAGUUUUGCCCUUAAUAACAGCACCUUUAGAAGAUCCAUGAGUUCCACACCGAUUGACACAGAACCCAUCAACCGCAACAUCAGAGGCGGUCAAUACAACAUUAAUGGCGUCUCUCUGUUCACCCUUUGAUGCCAAUUGCACGAUUUGCUU
rnacentral:lncRNA from 1 species